UACAGAGGGUGCGAGCGUUUGUCCGGAAUCACUGGGCGUAAAGGGCGCGUAGGCGGCUUGAUAAGCGUGCGGUGAAAGCCCGGGGCUCAACCCCGGGUCGGCCGUGCGAACUGUCGAGCUGGAGCACUGUAGAGGCAGGUGGAAUUCCGGGUGUAGCGGUGGAAUGCGUAGAGAUCCGGAAGAACACCGGUGGCGAAGGCGGCCUGCUGGGCAGUGGCUGACGCUGAGGCGCGACAGCGUGGGGAGGCAAACAGG
rnacentral:rRNA from 1 species